GGAAAUUACUUGUCCUGUGCUGCAUUCCAGCUCUCACAAGAGAACUUGGCUGCUGCACAGCCACCUGCCGGUGCGACUUCAGCUUUUGCCUGCCUCUCGUUUGUUUGACUUACAGUUAUGUUGUGUUGAGUUCUCAAGGUAGUAACUGUGCCUCUGUUUCAGUAAUAUCUAAUAAACUUCCUGGUGCUAUGUUAAAUAAUGUGCCAGGUGACUCACACGUUCUCACUGGUUACUUGUGUGGUUUGCUGUUCCUUUUCUCAAAGGAAAUACCUUUUCAUUGUUGGUUCAGGAAGUACAUAAGAGUAUUCCCUUUUUUUUUCCAUGGGAUUAAUGAUAAUUAUGCUUCUUCUCCACCUUUAACAUUCUUCUGAUUUUUGUUUUGAUAUGAUGACUCAUUUUAAGCAUCUCUGGUUUAUAACUGGCAAAAACAAAUUGAGGAAGUUUGUUGAUUUCCCUGUGUCCAUAGAAGGAACAAAUGGUAGAUCCCUGAUUAAAGCAUUGUUCCCAUUUUUAUCUUAUAGCUGGAAUCAGUGUUAAGUUACUCUGUCUUCUAUUUCUGUAGUAAUCUGUGUGGGUGAACUGCAGCAAUUCUCUUAUCAAGGAGAAGUCUGUAGUAUGUUUUAUUCAAGAACUUUUUUUCCAUUGCUAUUGAUAUUAAUGCCUAGAUGGAAGCUAGUAUGGUGUCUAUUCCCAAGUGUAAAAAGGUUUUGGGCUUUCUGUUGUUGUUGUUUAAAUAUAGCAACUGUAGUGUUUAUUUGUAUUGCUGCAUCUCACAAGUAUUUAAUUUUUCUAGGGGCAAAAUGUCAUGCCAUGUUUGCACUUUGUAAAAGCCGUGGCAAGGACGGAGAUACAGCCGUGGCUCAAAGUCAUGUCCAGUGUGCAAACUGGCCACACUGGACCUGACUCUGGACGCAGAGUCCAUGAACUCUGUUCUGUUGCAGUAGAGUUCUGGGGCUUUUCCACUCUCUUUUUGAAGCGGUAUGUGGUAGGAUUGUGAGCUACUGAAAACAAAGCCUGUUAGCUGUCCUUGUAUCAAUCAUAAGCAAGAGAGCAUGUAUAUACUCGGGUAUUUCCCUGUCAUGGAUGUGAAAGAACUCUUAAGGCAUAGGGGUUUGGUACUUAAAAGCUUAAGCAAUUACUCAUGAGGACGCAAGUUUUUCUCAGUGUUUAGAAGAUUUAUGUUUCCUGUUGACACUUUGCUGCAUGAAAGGAGCAUGCAUGUUGCAUCUAAAGAGCAAGACAGUAUUUGCUGUUUACUGUAAGAUGAAAAUAUGCAUUAAAAACUCUAAAAGGAAAUACAAACUUAAGGCAGUAACUGAUUGACAUCUGUGGAUGUCAUUUUUCUCUUGUGAUUCUGGCAUUUCAUGCCUUGCUAAAUAUCACCCACAGCUAUCUGUUGGAUGUGUCAGUAAGCGAUACAGUAUGACAGCUGCUCUUCACCACUCCACAGCAUCAGUUCAUUCAGUAAUAAGCUUGCAUGUGUUUUUAUCUUUGUUGUCUCUUUCCUAACAGUUCAAAAUAAAAAUAGUGUUUGUAACUGAUACUGAAUUCUCCCCAGUCCUAAGGUCUGGAGUAAGCAACCCUGUGCUCUAAAUGGCUGCGUUAUCUGCUUGGUGUUCAUCAAAGAGAAUGAGAAAAUACACGGAUGCGUAGUGUCAUCUGGGUAGGAUUUGGCUAACUCUGUUUUUCAGCAGCAAUUUUUGUGUUCUCAUUAAUUCUGGCAUUUAAAUUGUAAACCAUGUUGAAGAACUUGCCAAAUGUAGAGAAGAGCUUCAAAUGUGAGUCAGGCUAGAGAAACACAUGCAGAUCAGGGACUUCAAGGUUGGCUUGCUGAGCUACUAAAAAAGAACUUAAUAGUAUAACUGUUAGUGUACAAAUAACUUCAUUGGAUCAAGGUUUGUGUUCUAAA